rnacentral:lncRNA from 1 species
UUCGUUAUGAAAUGGAGUGGUCGGUGUAUUGCAUAGUUCUAGAGAUUGAAUUUCACUCAAAACCCACCAAAUGACUCCUCCAACCAUAUUAUGAUGUUCCCCAAGUUUUGGACUCAAUCUGAUAUCAAUUGGUCCAUGAAAUUGGACAAGUCAAGUUCGUACGAAGUUUGUUCUGAAAUGAAGUGGUUUAUGUAUUUCAAAGUUUUAGCCAUUGGAUUUCACUCAAAAGUCACCAAAUGACUCCUCC